rnacentral:rRNA from 1 species
GUGGGGAUUAGUGGCGAACGGGUGAGUAACACGUGGGCAAUCUGCCCUGCACUCUGGGACAAGCCCUGGAAACGGGGUCUAAUACCGGAUACUGACCACCUUGGGCAUCCAAGGUGUUCGAAAGCUCCGGCGGUGCAGGAUGAGCCCGCGGCCUAUCAGCUUGUUGGUGAGGUAAUGGCUCACCAAGGCGACGACGGGUAGCCGGCCUGAGAGGGCGACCGGCCACACUGGGACUGAGACACGGCCCAGACUCCUACGGGAGGCAGCAGUGGGGAAUAUUGCACAAUGGGCGAAAGCCUGAUGCAGCGACGCCGCGUGAGGGAUGACGGCCUUCGGGUUGUAAACCUCUUUCAGCAGGGAAGAAGCGAAAGUGACGGUACCUGCAGAAGAAGCGCCGGCUAACUACGUGCCAGCA